rnacentral:rRNA from 1 species
CCUACGGGGGGCAGCAGUGGGGGAUAUUGCACAAUGGGGGGAACCCUGAUGCAGCGACGCCGCGUGGGUGAAGAAGCGCCUCGGCGCGUAAAGCCCUGUCAGCAGGGAAGAAAAUGACGGUACCUGAAGAAGAAGCCCCGGCGAAAUACGUGCCAGCAGCCGCGGUAAUACGGCGGGGGCAAGCGUUAUCCGGAUUUACUGGGUGUAAUGGGGGCGCAGACGGUGAUGCAAGUCAGUAGUGAAAGUCCGGGGCCCAACCCCAGGAUUGCUGUUGGAACUGGGUGGCUGGAGUGCAGGAGGGGCAGGCGGAAUUCCUGGUGUAGCGGUGAAAUGCGUAGAUAUCAGGAAGAACACCGGUGGCGAAGGCAGCUUGCUGGACUGCAACUGACGCUGAGGCUCGAAAGCGUGGGGAGCAAACAGGAUUAGAUACCCCAGUAGUC